GAAAGCGAUCUCCUCUUCCAGAGUUCAAUUAUUUGUCAAGCAAUCAUUUUACUCUUCCAACAACUACUGCAUAAAUGGGAAAACGAAACCGAUUUUGUUUUGUUCUCCGCGCUCCCAGCACCAGGUGGAACCACGCGCGGCGCUUCCGAUCUCGGAGGAUGUAACAAGACGAGCGGUUGACGAAGCUGCAUUGUGUAGCCAGCCGGUUUAUCUUUUUAUGUUGUACAGUUUGUUAGUUUACCGUAAAUAUGUCUUGAUUUGUACUCAAGAGUGGAGCAAGGCCCUAUGGAACAGAGAUUGACGCAUCGUGAGCGAAGAACAGACGCGAUGGAUGGUUAGGCUGCUUGACUCUCGGCUGUACGACUCUCGGCAUGUUAGGACUGGCAAAGUUCCGAAUUUGUCGCGGUGUGGUGUACGCUUCUGUGCUCGUCAAGUGCCGUCAGAGCGCGGGGAUGUUUGAACGGAAUGUGUCCCUUCGUCUACAAAACUCUGCACGCUGCGGCAUCGAAGUCCUGUGUACGGGUGCACGUAUGCGCUUGGAUACGGGAUAGCCUGCCCUCAACGGAUGUUCAACAGUGUACGCACGCUGCGCGUACGCGUACGUAUGAGACUAGUUGCUGGUGUCCUGCUGGAGCUGAGAAGAGAUCUGCUGCCUGCCAUGAGACCAUGUCUCUCAAGUUACCGCAAUAUUGUUGCCUUCAAAGGGAGACGGCUCUCACAACUGGAGAAGCCUGGGAAGCAUGCAGUACUCCACAAAACCGGUUUCAACGUAAAAUGUGUCUGCAUCUCAUAAUUUCAUGGCUGCAAGAGUGAGCCCAAUGGUAAACACAUCUGAGUGUUCAUGAUGUCAUGCAUUAUCCACUUUAUCUGCACGUCAUACCUAUCUUGACAAAGCUGAUAUUGCCUUUAGAGAAAUUGUAGAUGUUGUGAGCUUGCAUUUCAGAACGCACAACAAGCUUAACACGUACAACACCAGAACAAUUUGUUGAGAAUUUCGGAUCAGGAAUCUUCGAAGCACAAUUUGUUUAGUGGUGUUAAGAUUCUGCUUAAGGUUGUUGAUUAUUACAUUCAUAUAGUGUUCAAGCAUUGCUGUAACAACAUUCUUCGCUUGGAGUACAUAGUAAGGGUGUACUCCACAUGAGCUGGUGGCAUUUUGCUCCAUAUUCAAAAACUGGUUUCUUCUUCAGUUGAGAUUUUCAAGUUUGCAUUCUUUAUUAGCUGUUGUAUGUAACCUAUCCUAAAUGUUUGAAUAGUGAACACAACGUGACCUUUUUGAUUGAUUUUGUGGAUUGUACACCCUUGCUGCAAACAAUUUGAGAUGAUAACUGUUUCCGCCUUAAUGAAAAAUAAUUGCUUGAAGCAGCCAUAGCCACCAAUAAUACUAGCAUGACACGAUUAUGAAAAUUGUGAUAUUGUACUUUGAUUUAUAAUGUUUUUAAACAUAUGGAGCUCUGCCUGUGGUGUAAAUGGGUUCCUGAUAUCCAUUCGUGAUGCAAGAAUUUGAAGAAUAAACUGAAGCAAGAAUGUUUACUUACUUUUCAAGAGAAGCUCAUGGCAAUUUCCUCAUGAAAAGUAAAAUAACUAGAAAUAACUUUACUGAGCUGAGAAGAGUGCUACAAUUGUCUCAUUCGAAUAGUGCCAUAUACAGAAGCUACAACAAAUGUUUACUAUUUUGGUUGCAUUUGUAUAUAUGGUCUUGUCACGUGUUGCAAGCUGUAUUCAGAAUGGCCACAGCUCAGUCAUGAUUGUGGCAUUGUGCAAUGAAGUACCGCUGGCAUCACCCGGAAAGUGUCGCAAAGUUACAAAUACAACUUUGAAUGGGUUCUUUUAGGAAAAAAGACUUAGCUCAGAAAAUUAUCCUUUUUUAUGCAGCCUGUCGAGACAAGGUUUCUUUACAUGGCCAUGGCGCUCAAGGAAGAAACCGAGACUGUAGACUGCCAACGUUCAUUCCUGUUCCGGCAAAGACGGGCCAGCAGUAACCAGCAGGAUUUUACAAAGUGAACUCAUCACAGCUUGAGCCACUCCAUGCCACAAGCAGUUGCUCCUCGAGCCACCGUGCAAAGGUUCCUUGGGGCACAAGUCCAACUCAGCGCCACAACCUUUCUUCUGCAGUUUUUCUACCUACUUAGCUAACCAGCAAGUUUAUCCUUGCAAGGCAUGUGCGAACAGCUUUCACCAGGAAACAGUGCAAGACGAGUGGUCGAAGAAAAUAAAAUUGCUUCUGUGAUCUAAAGUACUUGAUGAAUAAAAUUUUGC